AGCAGCCGCGGUAAUUCCAGCUCCAAUAGCGUAUAUUAAAGUUGUUGCAGUUAAAAAGCUCGUAGUUGAAUUUCGGGAUUGGCGCAUCGGUCGUGCCUCACGGGGUAUGAACUGGUGCAGUCAAUUUCUCACCUUCUGGAGAACCGCGAUGUCCUUAAUUGGAUGCCGCGGGGAACCAGGACCUUUACUUUGAAAAAAUUAGAGUGUUUAAAGCAGGCAUUUUUGCUUGAAUACAUUAGCAUGGAAUAAUAAAAUAGGACGGCAUGGUUCUAUUUUGUUGGUUUCUAGGACCACCGUAAUGAUUAAUAGGGAUAGUUGGGGGCAUUAGUAUUCAAUUGUCAGAGGUGAAAUUCUUGGAUUUAUUGAAGACUAACUACUGCGAAAGCAUUUGCCAAGGAUGUUUUCAUUAAUCAAGAACGAAAGUUAGGGGAUCGAAGGCGAUCAGAUACCGUCGUAGUCUUAACCAUAAACUAUGCCGACUAGGAAUCAGACGAUGUUAAUUUUUAAUGACUCGUUUGGC
rnacentral:rRNA from 1 species